CCUAUAAGUAUUAAAGGUAACGCCUGCCCAGUGACAAUUUUAACGGCCGCGGUAUUCUAACCGUGCAAAGGUAGCGUAAUCACUUGUCCACUAAAUAUGGACUAGUAUGAACGGCUAAAUGAGGACUAACCUGUCUCCUUUAUCCAAUCAGUGAAACUGAUCUUUCAGUACAAAAGCUGAAAUACUCACAUAAGACGAGAAGACCCUGUGGAGCUUUAAAUUAAUAUUAAUAGCACUACACACAUGCUUCAUAAUUAAAAAUUUUAAGUUGGGGCAACUUCGAAACAAAACCAAACUUUCGAGAAUAAGACAUUACAUCAAACUAAGGCCAACAGGCCAAAGAAAAAUUGACCCAGUACAACUGAUAAACGAACCAAGUUACCCCAGGGAUAACAGCGCCAUCUUCUUAAAGAGUUCAUAUCGACAAGAAGGUUUACGACCUCGAUGUUGGAUCAGGACACCCCAACGGUGCAGCCGCUGUUAAAGGUUCGUUUGUUCAACGAUUAAUAGUCCUACGUGAUCUGAGUUCAGACCGG
rnacentral:rRNA from 1 species